rnacentral:rRNA from 1 species
CGUAGGAGACGAGCGUUAUCCGGAUUUACUGGGCGUAAAGCGUGUGCAGGCGGUUCGGCAAGUUGGAUGUGAAAUCUCCCGGCUCAACUGGGAGGGGUCGUUCAAAACGACCGAACUUGAGGUCAUCAGAGGAAGGUGGAAUUCCGGGUGUAGUGGUGAAAUGCGUAGAUAUCCGGAGGAACACCAGUGGCGAAGGCGGCCUUCUGGGAUGAUCCUGACGCUCAGACACGAAAGCUAGGGGAGCGAACGGGAUUAGAGACCCCGGUAGUCCUAGCUGUAAACGAUGUAGACUUGGCGUCGGAGGGUUCAAAACCUUCGGUGUCGUAGCUAACGCGAUAAGUCUACCGCCUGGGGACUACGGCCGCAAGGUUA